rnacentral:lncRNA from 1 species
AGUGAGCUCAGCUGAAAUCUCCAGGAGGAAAACUAACAUUGCUUUUACCUCAGGCAAAGACCCAGGGAACAGUGUGGAAAUGUCAUAGUUUCAGCUGCAGCAACAAUGUAUGAAGAGGAAACACUAUAAAGAGGAACAAAGAGG